rnacentral:rRNA from 1 species
GACGAACGCUGGCGGCGUGCUUAACACAUGCAAGUCGAACGGAAAGGCCCUGCUUUUGUGGGGUGCUCGAGUGGCGAACGGGUGAGUAACACGUGAGUAACCUUCCCUUUACUUUGGGAUAACUUCAGGAAACUGGUGCUAAUACCUGAUAGGAGCUCCUGCUGCAUGGUGGGGGUUGGACAGUUUCGGCGGUUGGGGAUGGACUCGCGGCUUAUCAGCUUGUUGGUGGGGUAGUGGCUUACCAAGGCUUUGACGGGUAGCCGGCCUGAGAGGGUGACCGGCGACACUGGGACUGAGAUAAGGCACAGACUCCUACGGGAGGCAGAAGUGGGGAAGAUUGCACAAUGGGCGGAAGCCUGAUGAAGCAACGCCGCGUGCGGGAUGACGGCCUUCGGGUUGUAAACCGCUAUCGCCUGUGACGAAGCGUGAGUGACGGUAAUGGGUAAAGAAGCACCGGCUAAAUACGUG